rnacentral:rRNA from 1 species
AUUGAACGCUGGCGGCAUGCCUUACACAUGCAAGUCGAGCGGGGUUUUCGGACCUAGCGGCGGACGGGUGAGUAAUGCGUAGGAAGCUGCCCGAUAGAGGGGGAUACCAGUUGGAAACGACUGUUAAUACCGCAUAAUGUCUACGGACCAAAGUGUGGGACCUUCGGGCCACAUGCUAUCGGAUGCGCCUACGUGGGAUUAGCUAGUUGGUGAGGUAAUGGCUCACCAAGGCGACGAUCUCUAGCUGGUUUGAGAGGAUGAUCAGCCACACUGGAACUGAGACACGGUCCAGACUCCUACGGGAGGCAGCAGUGGGGAAUAUUGGACAAUGGGCGCAAGCCUGAUCCAGCCAUGCCGCGUGUGUGAAGAAGGCCUUCGGGUUGUAAAGCACUUUCAGCGAGGAGGAAGGGGUGUGUGUUAAUAGUACACACCUUUGACGUUACUCGCAGAAGAAGCAUCGACUAACUCUGUGCCAGCCGCCGCAGUAAGAC